AGGGACACCACACUCGGUGUCAGCCUCUGAGGCCAUGGAGCCACGCAGACCCAGCACAGGAUUAGAAACAGACCUUCCCGGGAGGCAGAGAGCCAGGCCUCCUGGUUUAUAGCAUGACAAGGCAGCACUCAGGAGGACGCAUCAAUCCUUCUCCAUGUCAGCACCUGUGACUGUGACCACUGGUGAGGUGGACAUGCUUCUUUUUCCAUUUUACAGAUGAGGAAACUGAGGCCAAGGGAGGGUCAGCAGCCUGCCCUGGGCUGACUGGUGAUGCAGCGAGGGUGGGGUGUGGGAGGGUGGCGGCGGCCCUUGCAGUCCCUGGGAACCUGCACCUCUUCCUGGGCGCUGUUCCCCUCUCUCUCCCAGGACCCUUGGGCCUGGCGUUUCUUCACCUGCGACCAUCCAGGAGCUGGACCUGCCCUAGGGCGUCAGUUUCCAGGGAAGCCUCUGGCCUGUGUGUGAGCCUCCCCACCUGCCCGGCCACGGCCUCCACAGGCGCCCUGCGCAGCCCCGCCCCUCCUGGGGCAAAGGCUUUGCGAAGACUUUCUUCUCUGGCUCAUCCCUUUAAGGAGGCAUAAAAACGAACCCCGGGCCUCACAGGUCCGGAAUGCGCCCCCCUCCACGAUGGGAGCUUCUUGGCCUUGGCUGUGCAGGGGCCGCGGCUCCUGGGGGUCUGGCCGGAUCUGCAGUAGUGCUGAAUGAGCUGUGGCCAGGAAGACGCAAUGAAUAAUUGUCACUUAAAAGGAUAAACAGAAAUUCCAUUUCCCUUUUAAAUACUUGAACAUUUCAAAACAUCUGGAGGACGCGAUGCUUUUCCUUCCAAGCAUCUCCGUGGAGUUUUGUGGGUUACCGCAGAGGAUCGGCAGCAUUCCUCUCUCAGGGAAAACUGGCCUGAGCAUUGCAUAACGCAGGCAGACUGCACCCCUCACGUCGCCUGGGGCCACAUGCACAUGUUUCCAAGAGACUUGCUGGAGAAUCUUCCCCGGAUCUUGACAAAGUUGGACAUGGAAAGCACGUUGGUCCAUCCAAGGUCCACAGAGCGACCCUGGCUAUGAAAAAUCAUCCUCCGAGUGGGAGUCUGUCUGCCAGGAGUGAGGUGACACCGCACAUGGCCUCAGGAGCUGGAAACGCUGGUGAAUUCAGAUGCAGCCAAAGCUUCUAACUUAGUCACAGUUAUUAAUUAUUCUUGGUCUUAUUGGAGCAGGAACCACUGCCAUGCAUCAGGCCAGCAAGGCUCACUCCCCACCGUAGGAUCCCUGUGUAGACGGUCGCUCCAUCAGUGUAGUUGGGUGUGUGGAGCAAGGGACUGGGCUGACCCUACCUUCCAAGCAUCGAUGUGGCCUUCAGCAGAGCAGGAGGAGAUAGCCCAGGACUUGUACUUUGCAGUUGAAGUGCCAGACCUAAGAAAUGCAAACCUGAGGAUGGAAAGAGGGUGGAGAGGGGGGAGGUGUCUGGAUUGGCCGUCCAGAGCAGCCCCAGCUGCAGCAAGUGGAACUUGGCUGGCUGCCUCACAGGCCUGGUGGCAGCGUCCCCAGCGAGGAGCCUGUCCCACAUAUGAAGGUCCCCAUACCCUUAGCCCCUAGCUGAGAGUUUCACUGACCAGAGCUCCCUGAGUCCAGGGCUCCACUCAAGGGACUGCUGUCCCCGUUGGUGAAGAAGGCCUGUUGGGGCCAAUGCUUCCCCCCACAGGGAAGCGGAGCUGUAUUUUGUCGGACAGAACUUUGCAAGCCUGAAACAGCUGGUGGUGGCCCCAGAGCCAAGAUCUGACCUCACUCCAGAGUUGAAGGGCACAGAGAAGGCACAGCUAGAGGCGGCAGGUACCCCUCAAAGCUCUCGGGAGAGGGUACAAAGUGGGACCUCCCAGCACCCUUGGCCUCCAGGCCUCAAAAGCCCUGAGAGGGCUGCAUGCAAGGAGACAAAGCUGGAGAAGGAUGUGGGAGGCAGGUGGCUAAGAAGACAGGCUGGAAAGGGACGUGGGAGGUAGGUGGCUUUGCUCUAAACAGAAUCGUCUCAGUAAUGUGACACUGCACAUGUAUAGGUAGGCUCGCUCAUGGGCAUAACCCUCUAAAACACACCUUUUAUGGAGUGAAAUUCACUUAACAGCCAUCUUGAAGCAUAUACUUCGGCGGCAUUUGCUGGAUUCACGACGUUGUGCAACCUCUGCUUCUCCAGUUUCAGAACAUUUCAUCCCUCCAGAACAACAGCUCAUCCCCAUUAAGUAAUCACUCCUCAUUCCUUCCCCAUCCUCUGGAAACCACAGAUCUGCUUUCUGUCUCUAUGGAUUUGUCCGUUUUGGAUAUUUCAUAUAAAAGGAAUCACGCGGUGUGCGAA
rnacentral:lncRNA from 1 species